UACGUAGGGCGCAAGCGUUGUCCGGAAUUAUUGGGCGUAAAGAGCUCGUAGGCGGUUUGUCGCGUCUGCUGUGAAAACCUAAGGCUCAACCCCGGGAGGCGGGUGGAUACUGUCAAGCUCGAGUCCGGAAGAGGAGUGUGGAAUUCCUGGUGUAGCGGUGAAAUGCGCAGAUAUCGGGAAGAACACCCGUGGCGAAGGCGGCUCUCUGGGACGGUACUGACGCUGAGACGCGAAAGCGUGGGGAGCGAACAGG
rnacentral:rRNA from 1 species